AUUGAACGCUGGCGGCAGGCCUAACACAUGCAAGUCGAGCGGAUGAAGGGAGCUUGCUCCUGGAUUCAGCGGCGGACGGGUGAGUAAUGCCUAGGAAUCUGCCUGGUAGUGGGGGAUAACGUCCGGAAACGGGCGCUAAUACCGCAUACGUCCUGAGGGAGAAAGUGGGGGAUCUUCGGACCUCACGCUAUCAGAUGAGCCUAGGUCGGAUUAGCUAGUUGGUGGGGUAAAGGCCUACCAAGGCGACGAUCCGUAACUGGUCUGAGAGGAUGAUCAGUCACACUGGAACUGGGACACGGUCAAGACUCCUACGGGAGGCAGCAGUGGGGAAUAUUGGACAAUGGGCGAAAGCCUGAUCCAGCCAUGCCGCGUGUGUGAAGAAGGUCUUCGGAUUGUAAAGCACGUUAAGUUGGGAGGAAGGGCAGUAAGUUAAUACCUUGCUGUUUUGACGUUACCAACAGAAUAAGCACCGGCUAACUUCGUG
rnacentral:rRNA from 1 species